GUGAGCUCUGAGGAACUGCUAUUUGGGUCUGCGUUGAGUAGGCAGGUUGCUGCUCAGAAGGGACACUUGAGAACAGCUACUCCCAAGAAAACCCCUUGAAACAACUGACAGCGAACUGAAACAGUGGCUUUUCCUGCACGGAGCUGCCACAUCUGUCAAGCACUGCAGCAUAUUGGGUUUUUUUUCAGCACAGCUAGAAAACCAAGUGCUCUCUGACUACGGAAAUUUCCUUUUUGUACAAUUAAAGGACUAAGCAUUUAUCCAGGGUUUAUCUGCUUGGUUUUAUCUGGG
rnacentral:lncRNA from 1 species